rnacentral:rRNA from 1 species
AAAGGGGUGCUAAUACCGGAUAAGGUCCUUCUUCCGCAUGGGAGGGGGAGGAAAGGGGAAACCCGCCGGAGGAGGGGCUCGCGGCCCAUUAGCUAGUUGGUGUGGUGAAGGCGCACCAAGGCGACGAUGGGUAGCCGGCCUGAGAGGGUGAACGGCCACACUGGGACUGAGACACGGCCCAGACUCCUACGGGAGGCAGCAGUCGGGAAUCUUCGACAAUGGGCGAAAGCCUGAUCGAGCAACGCCGCGUGGGUGAGGACGGCCUUCGGGUUGUAAAGCCCUGUCCUGGGGGACGAAAAAAAUGACGGUACCCCGGGAGGAAGCCCCGGCUAACUACGUGCCAGCAGCCGCGGUAAUACGUAGGGGGCAAGCGUUGUCCGGAAUCACUGGGCGUAAAGGGCGUGUAGGCGGCCGCUUAAGUUUGGUGUGAAAGGCAUGGGCUCAACCCGUGGACUGCAUCGAAAACUGGGCGGCUUGAGGGUAGUAGAGGAGAGCGGAAUUCCCGGUGUAGCGGUAAAAUGCGUAGAUAUCGGGAGGAACACCAGUGGCGAAGGCGGCUCUCUGGGCUAUACCUGACGCUGAGGCGCGAAAGCUAGGGGAGCAAACGGGAUUAGAUACCCCGGUAGUCCUAGCCGUAAACGAUGGGUACUAGGUGUAGGGGGUAUCGACCCCCCCCUGUGCCGGAGUUAACGCAAUAAGUACCCCGCCUGGGGGAGUACGGCCGCAAGGUUGAAAACUCAAAGGAAUUGACGG